rnacentral:rRNA from 1 species
CUAGCCGUAAACGAUGGACACUAGGUGUCGGGGGUGUCGACUCCCUCGGUGCCGAAGCUAACGCAUUAAGUGUCCCGCCUGGGGAGUACGGCCGCAAGGCUAAAACUCAAAGGAAUUGAC